rnacentral:tRNA from 1 species
GCGCCAGUAGCUCAGCUUGGAUAGAGCAUCGGAUUUCUAAUCCGGCGGUCGAGGGUUCAAGUCCUUCCUGGCGCGCCA